rnacentral:lncRNA from 1 species
ACUUCCUUUGAUAUAUCUCAAAACUCUUUUGGCUGCCUAGAAAUGCAAUUCACUUGGUUCCUCCAAGAACCUCGAAAGCAAAUUAGUAGCAUAAGUGAGGUCAGGUCUUGUGAUUGUCAAAUAUAAUAAACAACCAACCAAGCUCCUAUACAACUUCCCAUCAAUCUUCUUACUACCAUCGUCUUUCACCAUUUUCACAUUUUGAACCAAAUGAGUUACUACUGGUUUACAGUUGUCCAUGUUGAAUUUCUUUAAUAUCUCAAUGGCAUA